rnacentral:lncRNA from 1 species
UGAUUAUGCUAAAAUCGUAUUAUGUUAAUGGUGUUCAUCUUUAAUAAUGCAUGAUGUUGGCAUAUUGAUAAUGCAUUGCUGUGUUAAUUCAGGGUUAGAGGAUUAUUAAUCGUAAAUCAAAAACAGGAAUACGUUUGAUUGGGUCAACAAUUAGCAUUUUUUUGGAUUGACAUUUAGAACUUUUUGACUUGUAGGACUUUUCUUUUCCUCUUUUUUAUCUGCUUGUUUUUAUCCAUCCUGUCUUUGAGAAUCAAAGGAGCCACAAAACCUAAUUUAUUUGAUGGCAAAGGCCCUUGCUAACGGGAAGUCAGACGUGAAUCUCUCCUACUCUCCCACAGCAAGAGAACACAUAACCCUUAAAAAACAAGGCUUUUUUUUUGGGAGGUAGGGAGGGUGUCACAGGAGACUACCUUCAGAAACACUGCUGUUUUCCUUUGUGCUGUUGUUGUUGUCAUCUUGCUGACUGUUCACAGGCCGUUGGGGACGGGCUGUCGUGUUACUGGAGAGUGGCAGAGCGACCGACUGACAGCCGGCGAGGUCGUCUCCGGAGGAUUCCUCCUGAGGAGAUUCUGCUCACACUUGGCAGGCAGGAACCAAUCGGGUUGACUCAGUCCAGCGCUCACAUUUUCCCCAACGAUCCAGGUUUGGCACAGAUGCAUCAGUUUUUAACACCCGCUCCAAUCUUUUUUUUGACCUACUGUCAAAUCAGUGGCUUUAUGAUUAUGAUGAUGCUGUUUUUAGACAAAAUGUAAAAACCAAUGUCAUUUCCUCUUUUUUCAUGCAGAGAGACAUACUUGGAUGUAGUCGUCGGAUCCAAAUGCAGCAGGUUUAUUAGAUCAGGUAAAAGCCCACAAAGCUAAAUCAGGGUCAGGCAGGGAGGAGUUGAUAACAGGCAUGGGAAUAUCAGAGGAGAGACAGGAUAGUCAGGAUCCAGGAGAGAGUCAGGGCAGGCGGCAGGUAAACAGAUACAGGUUUCAGGAGACAGAUGUUCAGGUCCAAAUAAAACGCUCAGUAGGUAAGGCAGGGUGGCACAUACAAUACUUUGCACUGAACUUCACUCAGUGCAGAGCUGUGGUUGAUUGAAUGAAUGAGAGUCAAGUGUGAGGCAUCCAGGAAAAAUGUACUGGCGAUGCUGGGAGCUGGAGUGUGGCUAGUACUCUGGGGACAGUUCCCACAGGUGACCAGAGGGGGAGACAGAGUUCUGACUUCUGACAUGCAUUCAUCAUAAUGGGGCGGAGCUUGUGGGCUGCCGUUGUAGCUUCUACGUCACACCAAAAGUCUUUUUCAUUCAUUCAUCUUGUUUCCUUUCGGGGUCACGGGGCUGCCGGAGCCUAUGUGGCCACUUGAGGGCAAAGGCAGGGGGCACCUUGGAGAGGGCGCCAGUCUGACGCAGGGUAGAGUGUCCACAAUCACACACCCGUGCACUCUCACAUUCACACCUAGGGACAAUUUGGAGUAACCAAUUAACCUAUGAAGCAUGUUUUUGAACGGUGGGAGGAAGCCGGAGUCCCCGGAGAGAAAACCCACAGGGAGAACAUGCAAACUCCACACAGAAAGGUCCUCCAUUGAUGUUCUGGUUCAGGUCCCCCAGCUGGGACUUGAACAGGGAGCCUUCUUGCUGUGAGGCAAGAAGGCCCUCGGUUCAAGUCAGCCCAGUCUUUUUCCAAUGCCAUUUUUACAUCUGGUCCAGAUUCACAAUGAAUUGAAUGAACAAAUACUCAGAAAUGCAAUUUUAAGCUUAGUUUUCUUGAUAUAUGUCCUCCAUCAUCAGAAUGUUAAAAACGCCAUUUUCAGAGUGGAAGAAAAAUAAACUCCUACAGAGCUACAAGUGUAUUUUUAAAUCUAAUCUAAGCACAAAAAAUCU